rnacentral:rRNA from 1 species
AUUGAACGCUGGCGGCAGGCUUAACACAUGCAAGUCGAGCGGGGUGAUGGUGCUUGCACUAUCACUUAGCGGCGGACGGGUGAGUAAUGCUUAGGAAUCUGCCUAUUAGUGGGGGACAACAUCUCGAAAGGGAUGCUAAUACCGCAUACGUCCUACGGGAGAAAGCAGGGGAUCACUUGUGACCUUGCGCUAAUAGAUGAGCCUAAGUCGGAUUAGCUAGUUGGUGGGGUAAAGGCCUACCAAGGCGACGAUCUGUAGCGGGUCUGAGAGGAUGAUCCGCCACACUAGGACUGAGACACGGCCAAGACUCCUACGGGAGGCAGCAGUGGGGAAUAUUGAACAAUGGGGUGAACCCUGAUCCAGCCAUGCCGGGUGUGUGAAGAAGGCCUUAUGGUUGUAAAGCACUUUAAGCGAGGAGGAGGCUCUUUUGGUUAAUACCCAGAAUGAGUGGACGUUACUCGCAGAAUAAGCACCGGCUAACUCUGUGCCAGCCGCCGCAGUAA